rnacentral:rRNA from 1 species
UACGUAGGGUGCGAGCGUUAAUCGGAUUUACUGGGCGUAAAGCGUGCGCAGGCGGCCCGUUAAGACAGGUGUGAAAUCCCUGGGCUCAACCUAGGAAUUGCGCUUGUGACUGGCGGGCUCGAGUACGGUAGAGGGGGGUGGAAUUCCUGGUGUAGCAGUGAAAUGCGUAGAGAUCAGGAGGAACACCGAGGGCGAAGGCAGCCCCCGGGGACUGUACUGACGCUCAGGCACGAAAGCGUGGGGAGCAAACAGG